UACAGAGGUCUCAAGCGUUGUUCGGAUUCAUUGGGCGUAAAGAGCUCGUAGGCGGCUUGUCGCGUCGGCUGUGAAAUCCCGUGGCUCAACUGCGGGUCUGCAGCCGAUACGGGCAGGCUAGAGUUCGGUAGGGGAGACUGGAAUUCCUGGUGUAGCGGUGAAAUGCGCAGAUAUCAGGAGGAACACCGAUGGCGAAGGCAGGUCUCUGGGCAGAUACUGACGCUGAGGUGCGAAAGCGUGGGGAGCAAACAGG
rnacentral:rRNA from 1 species